UACGUAGGGGGCAAGCGUUGUCCGGAUUUAUUGGGCGUAAAGAGCGUGUAGGCGGUUUGGUAGGUCCGUUGUGAAAACUCGAGGCUCAACCUCGAGACGCCGGCGGAAACCAUCAGGCUAGAGUCCGAAAGAGGAGAGUGGAAUUCCUGGUGUAGCGGUGAAAUGCGCAGAUAUCAGGAAGAACACCAGUGGCGAAGGCGGCUCACUGGCCCGGUACUGACGCUGAGGUGCGAAAGCGUGGGGAGCAAACAGG
rnacentral:rRNA from 1 species